AUCCAGCUGACCAAUCCCAAAUGGAACUAAACGCAUGUCCUGGAU
rnacentral:hammerhead_ribozyme from 1 species